rnacentral:rRNA from 1 species
GUCGUACGAGGAUCGUCGGGUUAGCAAUAAUUCGGCGGUUCGAGUGGCGCACGGGUGAGUAACACGUGGGUAACCCACCCUCGAGACCGGGAUACCCUCUCGAAAGGGAGGCUAAUACUGGAUACGUUCCCUGGGACGCAAGAUCUGGGGAGGAAAGGUGGCGAAAGCUGCCGCUCUUGGAGGGGCUCGCGGCCUAUCAGCUAGUUGGUGAGGUAACGGCUCACCAAGGCUAUGACGGGUAGCUGGUCUGAGAGGACGACCAGCCACACGGGAACUGAGACACGGUCCCGACUCCUACGGGAGGCAGCAGUGGGGAAUUUUCCGCAAUGGGCGAAAGCCUGACGGAGUGACGCCGCGUGGGGGACGAAGGCCUUCGGGUCGUAAACCCCUGUCAGAGGGAAAGAAGGGUGUCGGCGUGAAUAGCGCCGGCAUCUGACGGUACCUUCAGAGGAAGCCCCGGCCAACUCUGUGCCAGCAGCCGCGGUAAGACAGAGGGGGCAAGCGUUGCUCGGAAUCACUGGGCGUAAAGGGCGCGUAGGCGGGAUGGCAAGUCGGUCGUGAAAUCCUUCGGCUCAACCGAAGAACGUCGGCCGAUACUGCCGUUCUUGAGGGAUGCAGAGGAGAUUGGAAUUCCCGGUGUAGCGGUGAAAUGUGUAGAGAUCGGGAGGAACACCGGUGGCGAAGGCGGGUCUCUGGGCAUCUCCUGACGCUGAGGCGCGAAAGCGUGGGGAGCAAACGGGAUUAGAUA